UCCUGGUUAUCUCCAUUGGUAGAGCGCUCCACUGAAAAAUGCAGAGGUCCCUGGUUCGAUACCAGGACCAGGCG
rnacentral:tRNA from 2 species